CCUGGUUCUUUGAAUAUUGCUGAUAUCAUCACGAGAGGCACUGAAGCUAAAAACCUCAAUGAAAACUCUGAGUGGCAAGGUGGUCCAAAAUUCUUGAGAUCUUCAGAAGAGGAAUGGCCCGUGAAGUCAGCCAAAGAACUGGCAAUGGCAGCAAAAGAAAAAGUCAACAAGCUACAGAAAAAAUCAUUCAUUGCUGUACUGACAAGAACCCAAGCAAAGAAAUGUGAAGGCAAAGAGAACCCCCAUGAAUGCCUACCAAACUUAGGAAGACCAUCUGCAGGUUCAGUUAUCAGAAAACUUGUGGAUGUCAAGCGCUUCAGUUGUUUGUCUCGCCUAAUAAAAACUGUCGCAUGGAUGUGGAGAGCAGCAAAGAGAUUUGGAGGAAAAAACAAAGCCAUGGAGAAACCACAGUGGGAGGCAGUUCCAUUGACUGGAAUCAUCUCAGUGAAAGAACGUGAAAAUGCCCUAAGGGACGUUCUCCUAGCGGCUCAAGAGGACAUGAUCCUUCCUGCCACCACGGCUGACAGAUUAGUAGUCCACAAAAAUGAAGAUUCUGGAUUAUUGGUUUGUGGUGGUCGGAUACAGGCUUUCAGAGAAGAUAAAGUUAGCGUCCCAAUCUUACCUCAAGACGCUUGGGUGUCUACUUUAUUAGCCCGGGAAGCCCAUAAUCAAAAUCACGAAGGAAUUGCUGCAACUCUGCUAAAAAUGAGAACUAAAGCUUGGGUGAUAAAAGGUCGAAGGAUCGUCAAACGAGUUGUUGAUGAAUGCUUAAUCUGCAGGAAAGAGAAGUCAAAGAAAUGUCAACAAAUAAUGAGUUCAUUACCACCAGAGAGGACCGAACCUGCUGCGCCAUUCCAAUUCACGACUAUAGACCUCUUUGGACCAUACCAAGUAAACGAUGAUGUUAGAAAAAGAGUCACACAAAAGGUCUGGGGGAUUCUGUUUUGUUGCAUGGCAAGCAGAGCUGUUCAUGCAGAAAUCGCAAAUGACUUGUCAACAGAAGGAUUUCUAAUUGCCUACCAAAAAUUCACUGCAAUUAGAGGACAUCCAAGAAAAAUCUGGUCAGACCCUGGCACCAAUUUUGUUGGGGCUAAACCAGUUUUGAAAGAAAUGUACAAGUUCCUGGACAAUCAAGGAAAAAGAGGUUUGGAAGACCUUUCAGCCGAACGAGGAACAGAGUGGGUGUGGAAAAUCCAUCCAGCGGAUUCUCCACACAGAAAUGGAGCUGCAGAGGCUGCUGUUCGCAUCCUGAAGAGGGCACUGCAAAACAUCGGGAGAAGAUCCUCACUGACUUAUAGUGAAUUCCAGACAGCACUCUACAUGGCUGCAAAUCUGGCAAAUGAGAGGCCAAUCGACGCAAGGACGCAAAGCCGAGAGGAUUGUAUCCUGUACAUCACACCGAACACUCUACUACUGGGCCGAGCAUCUUCAGGGGGAGAUCCCGGGACUUUCGACUUCACCAGCUAUCCCUACAAGAGACUAAGAGCCAUACAGGCUGAAGUAGACACUUUUUGGAGAGAAUGGAGCCAGCUCGCUGGACCUAAUUUGUUCCUGCGGAGCAAGUGGCACACCGCACAGAGAAAUGUUACUGUUGGGGACAUUGUGUGGCUAAGCGACCAAAAUGCCUUGAGAGGACAAUUUAGGAUGGGUCGCGUAGUUGGUGCCAAUCCGGACAGCACAGGUGUGGUCAGGGAUGUUAAUGUUAGGGUUACUCCAAGUUACUGCCCACUUCAGGUGAAAACAAAAAACAGGCAGGGAAAGAAAAGUCUUUCACAACUUAACGGGCAAAAAGAAAAAGCGACUGUGUUACAUAGGGAUGUACGACGGUUAGUUGUUUUGCUACCUGUUGAGGAACAAACGUAAAUUAAGUUUUGUAAACGUGGUUGACAAUAGUUUGACCUCUGGCAGUCAGCGACAUUCUUAGUGUAUCCACCAGAAUGCCGAGUGGGAGGUGUUGAGUCAAAACGCACGUAAUUGCACGUAAAUGAAAAAAAAAAAAAAAAAAAAAAAAAAAAAAUAAAUAAUAAUAAUAAUAAAUAAAAAUUUUAAAAGGUAAAUAAAUAAAUAAAAUAAAAAUAAAUAAGUACGAUUGGAAUAGAAAGAAUAUUUUAGAAAUGUUGUUCAUGUUCCUGAUUUUAAAAGGGGAGCUUGAGAGGCGGUAACAAAAAGUUGCGUCACCACGUCAGCGCGGCUGCAGGCACGUAGUGAUUUGGACGUGGCGCGGGAGAAAAGGUUCUGAUCAGACACGCCAACAGGUAGACGAGCGUUGGACCGUUCCUUAAACCUCGCGGAGCAUCCUUAAAGGCAUCUAAAAGAGUGGAGAGGCAGCCGGUAAGAUGCGGAAAUACGCGAAUGGGUGGGGUGCUAUUGAUCAGCUGUUUGUCGCGUGUCAGAUCAGCUGUUUGUCGCGUGUCAGAUCAGCUGUUUGUCGCGUGUCAGAUACUUUUCCGGAUGUGAAUUGUUUGUAAAUCAGUACUAUGUUAAGUUACUUUCUUGUUCUAAUUUCAUUUUCUUUCUAUGUAAAUUCUUGCAAUAUUUGUUUGAAAUCUAACAAUUUAUAGUUAUUUGUUGAUUGUAACAAAAAUUUCUCAUU
rnacentral:lncRNA from 1 species